rnacentral:rRNA from 1 species
UACGUAGGGGGCAAGCGUUGUCCGGAAUUAUUGGGCGUAAAGCGCGCGCAGGCGGUUGAAUAAGUCUGGUGUCUAAGGCUCGGGCUCAACCCGUGUUUGCAUUGGAAACUGUUUGACUGGAGUGUAGGAGAGGAAAGUGGAAUUCCACGUGUAGCGGUGAAAUGCGUAGAGAUGUGGAGGAACACCAGUGGCGAAGGCGACUUUCUGGCCUAUAACUGACGCUGAGGCGCGAAAGCGUGGGGAGCAAACA